rnacentral:lncRNA from 1 species
CUCAAUCAUCCUCAACAAUUUUAUGAGACCUUUUUUCCUCUUGCCGUAAAAUUUUGAAAGAUCUUCUCCUUUGUGCUUAAAAGUGUGAUUGUGGAGGAGUAUAAUAAAAAACUUCCAAGGUUGGUUAGAUGAAUACAAAUUAGUAAUAACAUCUUCGUUUUUAUCGUCUUUAACCUUGUUAGAAUCACAACCCCAAUCCCCCAAAACAUGUGAAUCAAAAUCUACAAUAAACAUGUCUACAAAUGUCUACAAAUAUCUACAAAUGUCUUCAAACUAAUAGACAUUUAGCUAUCAGUCUAAACCCAAAUCAAAGCAGAUUAAACAAAUAGCAAAGGUUUAAAAGCCGAGAACCUCACGGCGGAAAAAGGUAUAAAAUUUUACGUAGAAGAUUAAAAAAGACUGACCUUGUGUUCAGAUCGGAAUUCACUAUGGAAGACGCCGUUUAAACCAUGUGAUUGAUAAUCAGAACCUCAUUUAGUUAAACAAAAGUCUACUCACAUCAAACGUACAGAAAAGAAACACGUGAAACACAAUCUAGGUAGUAAUAUGGAAAAACAAAAAACCGAGAAAGCAUCAACGGGAUUAAAAAAAAUGAUGUAAACCCUAAUAUGAGAAUCAAAGAGAAUUGAUGUACCUUUUUGAGUGAACCGUAGAACCAUC